CAUGUAACUCUCCGCACACCGCAGUGCAGCUCUGCAGUAGUGACGAAGAGCUGAGGCUAUGCGGAUGUUGCGCAUAUGUGUUGUAUCUUUGAUGCAGUUUGCAGUCAUGGAUGCUUGUAGUAGAGGUAUGUGGGCGAAGAACUGCGUGCGACCCGGCAUGUGCUGCUCACUGCACCUUCAUCGACAGGAAGGCUUUGGGCGACACAAUUCCAGGUCGCUAGAUUGACAGAGGGCCCAUUUACUGGCCCAGAAGGUCGCCUGAGAUGACGCAUUAAUUUUUUCUUCGCGGUUUCAUGAAGGAUGCGGUCUAUAAGACCACGGCGCGGGACCUGCGGGCUUUCACAUCGGAGCAGCAAAUGCACAAGUUAAUUACAUGUAUGUUCGAUAUGGGAGAAACUGAAGUAUUUCAUAGAUACCAUGCGUGCUUCAGAUAGUGCACACAUUGAACUGUCAAACGGCUACGACUGCAGGUGUGUGUUUCAUUAAUGUGGCUGUUGCGUAGCGGUUGGUUUGUCCAGGAAAAUGGAGAUGUCACAGUGCGAGAGAAACCUCAAUGUGUGGUCUAGUGGUGCAUGAACUCCUGGUCGACUCUAAACAGCACAAAAGAAAUUUCAGAUAACAUAUAGAAAGACAUCAGUGGAGUCAGGAUCUGAGUCCAAAGGAGAAAUGUUUGCAGGAUGAUUCCAGACAACUAUAAACCAUUAUGAAUAUAUCAAUGAAUAAUAAUUUGUGAUGUCAUGAAAGACAACUGUAAUAUCUGAUGGGGAAAGCUAUUCAGCAUGGACUACUAUGUAAAUUUGGAUGUAUAAAGUAAUAUAAAUCAAAUUUUGCAGAAGUUUGAAAAUUUUUGUGUUAUGGAUAUUUCCUAUUUUAUUUUAUAACAGGUGAGCAAAGCAGUAUUCAAUACAGUAGUUCCAGCUUUUGCAGAAAGUUUGUGUUCUUUUGCUAAUGUUAAAUUUUGUUCAAUACUAUAAAUGAAGAAAAUGUGACGGGCUGUAUUUUUUGUUCAAAUAAAGAAAAUAAAUUAGAUUUUUAAA